GACGGAGCGGAAGUACCGUCUAGUAACCGAUAAUGCAAAGAUAUCGUUGAAUUCUGAGAAUGCCCGCUAUCUAUGCCUUCUUAAAGCCGUUGAAUUCUUAGAGAAUGCCCGGAAGUAAGGUUUCAAGAGUUUGUUAACACAAAAGCUCUAGUUUAUUAAUCAAUAAUUCAAAAAGUCGUAUCCCUCACAAAGCCGAGAUGAUACUAUAUAUAAUGAUAUAGAAAACCUAAUCUUAAAAGGAAAUAGAUCAAAACUUAACAUUAAUAGGAAAAGGAAAGAAAACCAAAACCAAAGCGUAAGAGGAUGUACGCUACAUCAGGUCCCCCCCGGUACGCGAGAUUCGUCCACGAAUCCAGAGAGUGUGUCGUCGUCCGGCUCAAAUUUAAAGAGGUGCUUGACAUUGAAAACAUCGGCUGUGUGAAUGUGAGGUGGAAGAGCCAGUCUAUACGCAUUUGAACUGAUCCGCUCAAUGAUCUCAACCGGACCUAUCUUACGAGGUUUCAACUUGUUAUAUUGACCGGUCGGAAAACGUUCCUUGAUGAGAACAGCCCACACUUGAUCACCGACUUGAAAAUUGACCUCGCGCCUACGUCGAUCUGCAUCCCGCUUGUACUUAAUUGCCGUGCCUUGCAAGUUGUCUUGCGCUUGUAAAUGAAUGGUGGAGAGUUCAUCGAUAAAGUCUACCGCACGUCCAUGAAACUCGCCUGGUUGAGGAAGAGUAGCUAAUGCCAAAGGCCCGCGAGGAACAAGGCCAUAAACUACUUUAAACGGACUGAAACCGAGGCUUCUGUUAUUGGCGUGAUUGUGCGCGAACUCCGCCUGACAUAGCAGGGAAUCCCAAGAACGUAGGUUAUCACCCACCAAACAUCGCAACAUAUUGCCUAAACUUCGAUUAACCACCUCGGUCUGACCAUCAGUCUGGGGAUGGUAAGCGGAACUCAUGUUUAAACUGGUUUUCAACAGUUUCCAAAGAGAACGCCAGAAGUGUCCAAUGAACCGAGAGUCCCGGUCUGAGACUAUAGUUAAAGGGAGGCCGUGAAGCCUAUACACCUCGCGAAAGAAGAGUUGAGCGACCUGUACCGCAUCUGUCGUCUUCUUACAAGGAAUAAAGUGCGCCAUUUUGGAGAAACGAUCAACCACUACAAAGAUAGAAUCAUGCCCACGUUGAGUUCGAGGAAGACCGAGUACAAAAUCCAUACUGAUAUCGCUCCAAGGUUGCGUUGGAACUGGUAACGGGAGAUAAAGACCGGCGUUAGAAGCCUGACCCUUGCCUUGCUGACACGAGGUGCAACGAGCCACAAACCUCUCGACAUCUCGUCUUAACGUCGGCCAGAAAUAAGAUUCCGCCACAAGCUUGAGAGUGCGAUCUCUGCCUAUAUGCCCCUCUCCGUGUAACUCUUUGAUAAUCUGGAGGCGGAGACUACAGGUAGGAACACAUAAACGAUUGUCUUUAAAGACAAAUCCAUCGACCAAAGAAAAAUCCGAACGUACGCCCUGCGUAAGAUCCAUCCAUAUGGGUGAGAAGAAAGCGUCUGUUGGAUAUAAAUCCGACAAACACUCAAACCCGGUGACGGAAACACGAAGGGUGGAGACCAGUGCAUGACGCCGACUCAAGGCGUCCGCGACUUUGUUCAACUUCCCAGAUUUAUGCUUAAUAACGAAUGUAAAUUGUUGCAAAUACGCCGUCCACGAUGCAUGCCGAGAUGAAAUCUUAUCUUGGGUACCCAAAUACUUUAACGCCGCAUGAUCGGUGAACAAGAUGAACUCCUUAUGAGCCAGAUAGUGACGCCAAUGUUUGAUGGCUUGAACAAUUGCAUAGAACUCGAUAUCAUAGGUGCUAUAACGACUGCGUGCUCCUGCGAGUUUCUCGCUAUAGAAGGCAACCGGCCGGCCAAAUUGAGAGAGGACGGCGCCCACCCCAAGUUUUGAAGCAUCACAAUGUAGCUCAAAGGGUGCGUCAAAGUCGGGGAGUACUAGAAUAGGAGCUGUCGUCAAUUUCUCUUUAAUGAUCGCAAAAGCUCGUGUUGCGUCCUCCGUCCAAGAAAACGAAACUCCCUUCAUACAAUCAGUAACAGGUGCCAUAAUGGAGCUAAAGUUAUGGAUGAACCUUCGAUAAAAGGAAGCCAAACCGUGAAAGCUCCUGAUCUCCGAGAUUGUUGUUGGUGUAGGCCAAGAAGCGACUGCUUCUACUUUUAGUGGAUCGACGCGAAGCCCUGCGGCAGAGACAACGUACCCGAGGAAGAGAACGUCCGAUCUCCCGAACUCACACUUCUGCCGUGCAAUAAAGAGCUUGUCCUUUCGUAAUGCCAGUAAGACCUCGCGAAGGUGAUGUAGGUGCUCGUCCAUUGUGGUGCUGAAGAUAAGGAUAUCAUCGAAGUAAACCACGACAAAACGACCAAUAAAGGGCCGAAGGGUCUGAUUCAUCACACGCAUAAACGUGCUUGGUGCAUUAGAUAAUCCAAACGGCAUUACUAACCACUCAAAUAGGCCCUCUCGAGUUUUGAAAGCAGUUUUCCACUCGUCCCCUGGUCGAAUACGGAUUUGAUGGUACCCGCUUUUAAGAUCUAAUUUAGUGAAUAUAGAUGCCUUGCCGAUUUGGUCGAGAAGAUCAUCAAGGCGGGGAAUGGGAAAACGAUAACGUGUAGUGAUCUUGUUGAUGGCGCGGCUGUCUACACACAUACGCCAUGAUCGGUCUUUCUUGGGAAUGAGAAGUGCUGGAACCGCGCAUGGGCUUAGACUCUCGCGUACAUACCCCUUGAUUAGCAAGUCUUCAACUUGUCUUCGAAGUUCUUCAUGUUCUUCAGGGCUCAUACGAUAGUGAGCUCGGUUAGGCAAAACCGCAUUUGGGACGAGGUCUAUGUGAUGUUGAAUGUCCCUGAGUGGAGGUAAUCCCGCUGGUAGCUCGUCCGGGAACAGGUCUUCGAAUUCUGUUAAGAGUGGGACGAAAGCGGUUGGUAACGGGGUUGGGUGUGGGGGCGUUGGCGUAACGGAGACCAGCGCAAAUAAAGGUCUUGUCUCUUGGAGUUCUUGUUCGAACUGAGAACGAGAUAUGAUCAUGAGAUUUUGUUUUGACGUCGACGGUGUAGUGGUUGUGGCAACGGUACUAGUCGUAUCAGGUGAUGGAAGCAGAGUGAUUUUUCGUCCUUGGAACAUGAAGGAAUUAGUGUUCGUUUUGCCAUUGUGAAUGACUUCACGAUCAAACUGCCACGGUCGCCCGAGGAUAAUAUGCGAGACAUCCAUCGGAGCAAUAUCGCAGUACAGCUCAUCUUUAUAAAAAGAGCCGAUCGAUAGGGAGAUGAGUGUUCGUUGUGACACGUAAACCUCUGCCCCAGUCUGCAUCCAAAGUAGGCGGUAAGGGUGUGGAUGAGCUUCCGUCUUGAGGUUCAGUUUUCGGACAGCUUCCUCUGAAACCACAUUAGCCGAACAUCCUGAAUCAAUUACAAACCGGCAUAUCUUUCCUUUCACCGUGCAGGUGGAAGAAAAUAACGAUGUGCGCUGCCAUGGUUCACUGGUCUGGGGAGCAAAACAGUUUCUUCGAAGCAUAAGGAAAGUUCCUGUGUCUCCUGCGACCUGGUCUUCUUCAAUAUCAUCUUCGAGGUCCUCGUCAUCAUCGUAAAUAGGAUCUCCCAUGCCCUCUUUAUCUGCUGCGAGUAACCCGCGACGUCCAAGAGUUGGGCAAGCUGUUUGAAUAUGGCCUCGUUCACCACAGGUGAAACAACGAAGCGCGCCUGUUCGUGGUGGUCGGCCUUCGACGACCUCUGCUGGUCGAGUCGUCGGCCGCGAACUCGGUGGAGUGGUUGUGGUCUCACGGGUCGUCGAGUUUUUGGAAUCGUCGGGAGUUGUUGUGUUGCGACCACGUGAAUUUCCUGACCACUGGUUAGUGCUGAGGCGUGACUGUUGUUCGAUGAGCAGGGCCCGCUGACGAGCUUCAGAGACGGAACAAGGGUCGAACUGGUGUAGCAUGGUCUGCAAUUGUUGCCGUAGCCCUGCGAUAUAGCGAGCCACCAGCUGAUCUUCUGAGUCAUGAACAUCUAUUCGAGUUAACAUCUGAUAGAAUUCAUUAGAAUAUUCUUCGACGGAACGUGACCCUUGACGUAUAUUAUGAAACUUCUGGAAUAAGAGACGCUCAAAGUUAUAUGGGAUAAAAGUUUUCCGCAUAUGUUUUUUGAGUUUAUCCCAUGAUGUUAUCUUUUCCUUUCCACGGCGAAUCCGUGAAGUUUUAAUUUGACUCCACCAUGAGGCAGCAUGACCACGGAAUCUGGUUGUUACAAGCGGUACUCUCUUCUGUUCUGGAACUUCUUUGAAAUCGAUGAAUUCAUCGACAGUAACAAACCAGUCAAGAAGAUCUUCCGGUUGCGAACCGCCAUGGUAUUCUGGGAUAUCAAUUUUAACCCCUGACAUCCAACGGGUAUCCUCGUUGUGUCUGUUGUGUUGCUCUGGACGGUGACGAUUGCGGUGAUUUCCAUCAGCGAAUGGAUUCUCCUCAUCGUUGUCCUCUUCGUGAUCGUCAAAGACGGGAUUGUCGUGACGAAGUUGCCGUUGAGCUGGAGGUGCGUGUGCGCCUUGUGCUGCAUUGGCAGGGUGUCGAUCAUUGGCUGCGUGUGCGGCGUUGGCGGCAAGUGCGGCUUGGACGCCUGCUUGAACUCCGGACUGAAUUGCUUCAGCCAUCGUCCGUCUCAUGUUGUCUUGAAAAUUUUCUUGAAAAUCUUCCAGGAACUGUUGCAUCUGUGUCCAUUCGUUUGGACGAGGUGCCAUUGUAACCGAAGAUCGAUAAUCACGAUUGGAACGUAAUUAAAAGGUCUCUGAUACCAAUUGACGGAGCGGAAGUACCGUCUAGUAACCGAUAAUGCAAAGAUAUCGUUGAAUUCUGAGAAUGCCCGCUAUCUAUGCCUUCUUAAAGCCGUUGAAUUCUUAGAGAAUGCCCGGAAGUAAGGUUUCAAGAGUUUGUUAACACAAAAGCUCUAGUUUAUUAAUCAAUAAUUCAAAAAGUCGUAUCCCUCACAAAGCCGAGAUGAUACUAUAUAUAAUGAUAUAG
rnacentral:lncRNA from 1 species